rnacentral:misc_RNA from 1 species
UCAAAACAGCGGACUUCGGUCCUUGCUGCACCCUUGUCUUUUGCGCACCGUAUUGUUUCCUCGGCGGGCUUGCCUGCCGGUUGGACAUCAUCAAAACCUUUUUGUAGUUGCAAUCAGCGUCAGAAAAACAAUAAUUAUUA